GACGAACGCUGGCGGCGUGCCUAAUACAUGCAAGUCGAACGCUGAAGGAGGAGCUUGCUUCUCUGGAUGAGUUGCGAACGGGUGAGUAACGCGUAGGUAACCUGCCUGGUAGUGGGGGAUAACUAUUGGAAACGAUAGCUAAUACCGCAUAAGAGUAGAUGUUGCAUGAUAUUUGCUUAAAAGUUGCAAUUGUAUCAGUACCAGAUGGAGCUGCGUUGUUUUGGCUAGUUGGUGGGGUAACGGCUCACCAAGGCGACGAUGCAUAGCCGGACGGAGAGGGGGAGCAGCCGCACUGGGAGGGAGACACGGCCCAUAGGGCUUCGGGAGGCAGCAGUAGUGAAACGGCGGCAAGAGGUGGAAGUCAUAGCGAGAAACGCCGCGGGAGGGAAGAAGGAUGUCGGAUCGGAAAGCACGGUUGUAAGAGAAGAACGAGUGUGAGAGUGGAAAGUUCACACUGUGACGGUAACUGACCAGAAAGCGACGGCUAACUACGUG
rnacentral:rRNA from 1 species